rnacentral:rRNA from 1 species
GCAGCCGCCGCGGGAAUACGAAGGGGGCUAGCGUUGCUCGGAAUGACUGGGCGUAAAGGGCGCGUAGGCGGUUUAUACAGUCAGGCGUGAAAUUCCCGGGCUUAACCUGGGGGCUGCGUUUGAUACGUAUGGGCUUGAGUGGGGAAGAGGGUUGUGGAAUUCCCAGUGUAGAGGUGAAAUUCGUAGAUAUUGGGAAGAACACCGGUGGCGAAGGCGGCAACCUGGUCCUUGACUGACGCUGAGGCGCGAAAGCGUGGGGAGCAAACAGGAUUAGAUACCCCGGUAGUCCCUGUCUCUUAUAC